UACAUCCUGCGAUGUUCGUUUCGGCUCUUCGUUGUUUUGAACCAAUGGCUGUUUCACGGGAGUUCAAUAUUGAAAUGCAGCUGAUAUGCCCUCGAACGGGGACUUCAAAACCAUUUCUGCGGACACCCACCUGCGAGAGCGGGUUCAGAAACAUGUGAGUCGGACGGCAUAGGCGGGUUUCUU
rnacentral:other from 1 species